UACGAGGGGGGGCAAGCGUUGUUCGGAAUUAUUGGGCGUAAAGGGUGCGUAGGCGGUUUGGUAAGCCUGAUGUGAAAUCUAUGGGCUCAACUCAUAGUCUGCAUCGGAAACUGCCGGGCUUGAGUGUGGGAGAGGUGAGUGGAAUUCCUGGUGUAGCGGUGAAAUGCGUAGAUAUCAGGAAGAACACCCGUGGCUAAGGCGGCUCUCUAGUACGGUACUGACGCUGAGACGCGAAAGCGUGGGGAGCGAACAGG
rnacentral:rRNA from 1 species